ensembl:lncRNA LINC02898 long intergenic non-protein coding RNA 2898
AGUCUUCUAGAAAUUAACCCCUCAUCAGCUGAGCUCCUCAACAGUGAGUGGCAGCUUGGACUCUUGGCUGCAGGCAGUUCUCCUGAACCGGUCACCAGGGCUCAGGAUGAGCUAUCCAGAUGCAUCUGUGACAAUGUGGCUUUCAUCUUCAUCACAGUUGACCCCGUGGGAGGAAAGCCCCCUUUCUCCCACUUCAGCCCACAUCUCUCUUCCCAGAACAGCAAACUGCCACCCAGGAGGGACUGCCGCUUCCCUGGUCGUGGGAAACUCUGCAGAACCUCCUCUCCUGAGCACUCCUGAGCGAAGAGCCAAGCCAGGCCAGAGCUCACACAUGGUGAGGAUGUCCAGACCAUUAUUCCUCGAUUGGGCCUGGAGACCCCUCUGCAGCCCCUCCCAAUCUCUCCCACUGACCUACGGACCAGAAGGCUGGAUUUUGCAAUGGAAGGGAACUUGCAGGCAGCAGACAGCUCUGCACUGUCCCUUUGAUUUUCCUCAGGCACCUCUGAGAGGGAGACACACUCUCAGCCAAGUACCCAACAAGGGACAUGAGAAGGCUUCUGCUGUGCAGCUGCCAGAGAAACAGGGGACAGAUCAAAGCAGGAGAGGACCAACAUCUGCGGUAACCAAAGCAAGGACAAGUUACCCUGAGUCAGAAACCUUCAUUGUGUAUUUGUGCAGUUACUUUUGGAACUCAAGUAAAGGAGUUUACAUGUCAGGUUCCACCUGAAUUCCUUCCAUGCUUUUCAGCGACUGAACCAUUUGGGUGGCCUGGAAGAGCCUGUGAGCUCCCUGGAGAAAGGAGACAGUGUGGAUGGAGAAGAAUCUGGAGUAGAGAGGAGUCUGGGGACCCUGCCUUUCAAGUCGUUUGUGUGAGGGCUGCGUUGGUGGCCCAACUAGCCAGGGAAGGGCUAUGGUAUGCGGGGUCAGGCGGGAAUAGGCAGGAAAUGUUUGUGAUAAGAGGCUUCGCCUCUUGCAAGCUCCUCUGGUUUCCAGACCCAGCUGCAGGAUAAGGGCCCAGGAGCUGAGCAGGGAGCCUCAGAGGAGGCUGCUGCAAGAGCCAGCUCUUGGGAUUUCAGCAGGCAGAGUUGCAAUCAGAGGCCCCUGGGGUCCCUGAAGACCAUGCCUGGGGAUAGAAACGACCCUGGGAACCCAGCCAGGGCUGCCUUCCUUUGGGAUCAGGGAUUUUCAAUCAUACUUCAGAGGGCCAAAUCAAUCCCUUAAGAAAAAUAAAACAAAACAAA